AUACGGAGGGUGCGAGCGUUAAUCGGAAUUACUGGGCGUAAAGCGUGCGUAGGCGGUUUGCUAAGUCAGAUGUGAAAGCCCCGGGCUUAACCUGGGAACUGCAUUUGAUACUGGCAGACUAGAGUAUGAUAGAGGGGGGUAGAAUUCCUGGUGUAGCGGUGAAAUGCGUAGAUAUCAGGAGGAAUACCAGUGGCGAAGGCGGCCCCCUGGAUCAAUACUGACGCUGAGGUACGAGAGCGUGGGGAGCAAACAGGAUUAGAUACCCUAGUAGUCC
rnacentral:rRNA from 1 species